rnacentral:misc_RNA from 1 species
GUGUGCCUUCACUCAAAUUGUCACACCACUGGAGUAAGUAGUUCACUAAGUCAUUUGAGAGGAAAGCGAGAUUUAUUGAGAGACAAACUCCAAGCCAUCCAACUCGAACUUUAACACAAUACAUAGCAUAUAUGGUAGCCAUUAAUACCACAAGUCUUGCAUGGUUUAAUGAAAACAGAUAACCUCCAACUAUAAACAAUACACCAGUAAUCCAAAAGUUGGCAUACAUCCACAAAACUAAAAUAGCGAAGAGCCCAACAAUGAAAAGCCCAGGAGUGCAACCCAAAUACUGAACAGCAGCCCCUGCAGCACCCAUACUAAGGAGCACGUAAACCAGACAAGACAAUGAUGUCAAACUUAGAAAACAGCUCCACAUAAUAAGGAGCAAUGCCGCGGAUCCAAGUGCAAAGAACGAUUUACAGCCCCUUACUAAACAAUCCUUCCAGUAUCUGAACAAGAUAAAGAGCAAUUUUCCUAGUAUUGCACACCCACAGCAAACAAUUGGCCAAAUCCGCUCAUUAAAGAUUCCAACUUUAUCCCUAAAACAGCCAGCAGCUGUCCUUACAACCGAAUAACAAUCUUUCUUCGAUUGCAG